GUUGUCGUCAGCUCGUGUCGUGAGAUGUUGGGUUAAGUCCCGCAACGAGCGCAACCCUUGAUCUUAGUUGCCAGCAUUCAGUUGGGCACUCUAAGGUGACUGCCGGUGACAAACCGGAGGAAGGUGGGGAUGACGUCAAAUCAUCAUGCCCCUUAUGACCUGGGCUACACACGUGCUACAAUGGACAGAACAAAGGGCUGCGAGACCGCAAGGUUUAGCCAAUCCCACAAAUCUGUUCUCAGUUCGGAUCGCAGUCUGCAACUCGACUGCGUGAAGCUGGAAUCGCUAGUAAUCGCGGAUCAGCAUGCCGCGGUGAAUACGUUCCCGGGCCUUGUACACACCGCCCGUCACACCACGAGAGUUUGCAACACCCGAAGUCGGUGAGGUAACCUUUAUGGAGCCAGCCGCCGAAGGUGGGGCAGAUGAUUGGGGUGAAGUCGUAACAAGGUAGCCGUAUCGGAAGGUGCGGCUGGAUCACCUCCUUUCUAA
rnacentral:rRNA from 1 species